UCAAUAGAUCACAACAAGUCUUAACUUUAGACAAAUAUUCAGUCAUGCUCACAUUUUCUUUCCUAAGAGUUUGAAGCUGUAACUUAUACUACAUUACCUUAGCUCUUGACUGAUUUGAGAAGUUAACUUCAAGAGCGCUCCAUAUCGACUCAGAUGAGAUAAGCCCAACAACAAGAAUCAUAGCACUUUCUGUCAAAGAUUAUUGGAUCCAAGCCGACAAGAUCUGGUCCUGCCGUUCCCAGUUACCAUAGUCAGGAUUCAGCGAUCUACUACCUUUAUCUUCUACCCACAUGGGUGGUAGUUUUACAGCUCCGGUGAGAAAACCUUCCAGCCCAUAACCUCUGACAGUGGCUAAAAUCUGCUGCUUCCAAAUAAGAUAAUUUGUAUCUUUAAGUUUGGUAGGUGUGGGUAUACUAUGUAGAUAUACCAUUGUAUUUGUGGUGUUUGAGGCAGAUCCACCAACAGUGGAUUCAUCAGAUGAGUCACCCAUAAGAAAAUAAGGAAAAUAACAAAGGCAGCGUUAUCAAGAGACAUGUAAGGAUUACUUGCUCUGAUACCAUGAAAAAAAAAGCUAAGUAUAGAGAUUUCUUCAUUGAGACAAAGGUUCUGAUUUCAUUGAUAUAUUCAAAAGUUACAAAUACAAUAAGUGUGUUUAUUUUGGAUGUAAUCUUGUUUCUUAGGCUGCCAAGAAGCAACAUGUGGUCUCUAGGUCCAGUACCGAAGUCUUGCUAAUGCAGCUGCUGAACUCACUUGGUUCACCUCUUUAUUUCAAGAGUUGUCUAUUGGUAUAUCUCAUAUCCCUACUCUUUGGGUUGACAACACUAGCACCAUUUCUCUUGCUACUAAUCCUAUUCUGCAUGCUCGCACCAAACACAUUGAACUCGAUAUCCAUUUUGUCCGAGAGAAGAUUGCUGCCAACUCCAUUCGUGUUCUUCAUGUCCCUUCUCUUGAUCAGGUUCCUGAUAUAUUUACCAAGCCACUCAGUGUUCAAUUCUUCACUUGCCUUCGCAACAAGCUUCAAGUUGUUCCUUUGCGCUCGCUCGAAUUGAGGGGGCAUGUUAGAACACAUUAUGCAGCUGCUGACUUACGUGGCCAAACCUCCAUGCCAACUCAACAAGACUUAUGCCAUCUGGCAGUGGUGCACGAGAAAGAAAAAUCGUCUCAGGGCGAAGAGCAUAUGAUAGAGCAACGCAUUCUAGAUCAUUCCCUAGAGGACAGGUGUAGCUCAGUGAAUGGGUUUGUUACACACAAAAGUGUGUGCUGAUUUUUCUCGCUUUAGGGUUUUGAUAGUCGAGGCAUACUAUAUAUAGUGAGAGAGUUUUAUUGUAUUUGUAACUUUUGAAUAUAUCAAUGAAAUCAGAACCUUUCGUCUCAAUGAAGAAAUCUCUAUACUUAGCUUUUCUUUCAUCCCUCAAACCAAAUGUCUCCUAUAUAUAGAUUCGAUUUACUACGUCUCACUGACCCACUUCGAUUCGAUCCGAGCUAAUAGAUUCGAUUUACUACGUCUCCACUGACCCGCUUCGAUUCGAUCCGAGCUAAUGGAAUUUGUGCAACGAUCGAAAAUUCCAAUCGAGUCCCCCUAAGUUGCUUUUCAACUCUAUCCCGACGAUUUUCAAUUAAUUCGGAAGCUCGUACACUUACAACUGUUUGAAUAGAUCUUGAGUUAUGCACUCACUCUCGAAUUCGAACUGUUUGAAUAGACCUUGAGUUAUGCAGCUCACUCUCGAAUUCAGUGAUGGGCUUGAACUUGUAUGUGAUUCUGUCAAGAUCCAUGAUGUGAAUGUUGAGCCACAAGGUGAAGAAAAGAAGCUAACUGUGAAACACUUGCUCUCGUGGGUCCAUACGAAUUUGAUCAAGGAAAGACCCGAAAUGUUUAUGAAAUGAGACACAAUGUAAAUGGUCUAAUUUGUUCAAUUUUUGUCUAUGUCUGAGCUUUCUUUUUUAGAUUUUAUAUCUUUGCAUUUUCAUAUCAUAUGCUUUUCCAAAGUGAUGAAGCAAGCUAUUCCUUGGACGAACUAUUUGGAGGGGUGCAAUUGAUCACCUUCCCACAUGAACUUUAAUAAGG